UACGUAGGGUGCAAGCGUUAAUCGGAAUUACUGGGCGUAAAGCGUGCGCAGGCGGUUUUGUAAGUCUGUCGUGAAAGCCCCGGGCUCAACCUGGGAAUUGCGAUGGAGACUGCAAGGCUUGAAUCUGGCAGAGGGGGGUAGAAUUCCACGUGUAGCAGUGAAAUGCGUAGAGAUGUGGAGGAACACCGAUGGCGAAGGCAGCCCCCUGGGUCAAGAUUGACGUUCAUGCACGAAAGCGUGGGGAGCAAACAGG
rnacentral:rRNA from 1 species